CUACGGGAUGCACCAGUGAGGAAUUUUGCGCAAUGGGGGAAACCCUGACGCAGCAACGCCGCGUGAGUGAAGAAGGCCUUUGGGUCGUAAAGCUCUGUCAACUGGGAAGAAGUUACAAUGUUUUAAUAGAAUGUUGUAUUGACGGUACCAGUGGAGGAAGCGCCGGCUAACUCCGUGCCAGCAGCCGCGGUAACACGGGGGGCGCAAGCGGUAGUCGGAAUUAUUGGGCGUAAAGGGCGCGCAGGCGGUCUUGUCCGUCAGGUGUGAAAGCUCGGGGCUCAACCCCGGAAGUGCACUUGAAACAGCAAGACUUGAAUACGGUAGAGGAGAGAGGAAUUCCUGGUGUAGAGGUGACAUUCGUAGAUAUCAGGAGGAACACCGAUGGCGAAGGCAUCUCUCUGGGCCGAUAUUGACGCUGAGGCGCGAAGGCGUGGGUAGCGAACGGGAUUAGAUACCCUAGUAGUC
rnacentral:rRNA from 1 species